AUUGAACGCUAGCGGGAUGCUUUACACAUGCAAGUCGAACGAGUGGCGGACGGGUGAGUAAUAUAUCGGAACGUGCCCAGUAGCGGGGGCUAACUACUCGAAAGAGUGGAUAAUACCGCAUAAUAUGGGAGCGGCCGAUAUCGGAUUAGCUAGUUGGUGGGGUAAAGGCUCACCAAGGCGACGAACCGUAGCUGGUUUGAGAGGGCGACCGGCCGAACUGGGACUGAGACACGGCCCAGACUCCUACGGGAGGCAGCAGUGGGGAAUUUGGGACAAUUGGGGAAACCCUGAUCCAGCCAUCCCGCGUGUAUGAGAAGGCCUUCGGGUUGUAAAGUACUUUUGGCAGAGAAGCGGUAUCUGCAGAAUAAGCACCGGCUAACUACGUGCCAGCAGCCGCGGUAAUAC
rnacentral:rRNA from 1 species